AAGACUAUACUUUCAGGGAUCAUUUCUAUAGUAUGUUACUAGAGAAUUGUGGCUGAAAGUGUAGCACAGAGGUAACCACGAGGAGGAGCUGUGGUGUCUUCUUCUGAGUGUGAGGCUCCUUCCUGACAUUGUCAGCAGCUGCUGCUUAAUGUUGAUGAUCAUCCUUCGCUUCCUUUUUGUGGGGUGAGAGGAAGAUAACACAGGAGGUGUGGU
rnacentral:snoRNA from 1 species